UACGUAGGGGGCUAGCGUUGUCCGGAUUUAUUGGGCGUAAAGAGCGUGUAGGCGGCCAGGUAGGUCUGCUGUGAAAACUCGAGGCUUAACCUCGAGAUGUCGGCGGAAACCAUCUGGCUAGAGUCCGGAAGAGGAGAGUGGAAUUCCUAGUGUAGAGGUGAAAUUCGUAGAUAUUAGGAAGAACACCCGUGGCGAAGGCGGCUCUCUGGGACGGUACUGACGCUGAGACACGAAAGCGUGGGGAGCGAACAGG
rnacentral:rRNA from 1 species